rnacentral:rRNA from 1 species
UACGGGGGGGGUAAGCGUUGUUCGGAAUUACUGGGCGUAAAGGGCGCGUAGGCGGCCUUCUAAGUCGAACGUGAAAUCCCUGGGCUCAACCCAGGAACUGCGUCCGAUACUGGAAAGCUUGAAUCCGGGAGAGGGAUGCGGAAUUCCAGGUGUAGCGGUGAAAUGCGUAGAUAUCUGGAGGAACACCGGUGGCGAAGGCGGCGACCUGGGCCAAUAUUGACGCUGAGGUGCGAAAGCGUGGGGAGCAAACAGG